rnacentral:rRNA from 1 species
GACGUAGGGCGCGAGCGUUGUCCGGAUUUAUUGGGCGUAAAGAGCUCGUAGGCGGCUCGUUGCGUCGGCUGUGUAAACCCGCAGCUCAACUGUGGGCUUGCAGCCGAUACGGGCGGGCUGGGAUUCGGUAGGGGAGACUGGAAUUCCUGGUGUAGCGGUGAAAUGCGCAGAUAUCAGGAGGAACACCGGUGGCGAAGGCGGGUCUCUGGGCCGAUAUCGACGCUGAGGAGCGAAAGCGUGGGGAGCGAACAGG